rnacentral:rRNA from 1 species
GACGAACGCUGGCGGCGUGCUUAACACAUGCAAGUCGAACGGUAAGGCCCUUUCGGGGGUACUCGAGUGGUGAACGGGUGAGUAACACGUAAGUAACCUGCCCACAACUUUGGGAUAAGGCUAGGAUACUGGAGCUAAUACUGGAUAUGUGCUCCUGUUGCAUGGUGGGGGUUGGAAAGUUCCGGCGGUUGUGGAUGGACUUGAGAGCUAUCUGCUUGUUGGUGCGGUAGUGGACUACGGAGGCGGCGACGGGUAGCCGGCCUGAGGGGGUGACCGGCCGCAUUGAGACUGAGAUACGGCCCAGGCACCUACUGGAGGCAGCAGUGGGGAAGAUUGCACGAGGAGCGCCAGCCUAAUGCUGCAGCUCCGCGUGCGGGAUGACGGCCUUAGGGUUGUAAACCGCUUUCAGCAGGGACGAAGCUUUUUUUGACGGUACCUGCAGAGGAAUCACCGGCUAACUACGUG